rnacentral:lncRNA from 1 species
AGGUCGAGGCCUGAUGAGUGAGGCCAGAAGCCGGGAAGCACCGCAGAAGUAGAAGCCGGGGAGCCACAGCCUACGUUCUCGGAAAAAGCAGGCACUGGAAGGGAGGCCAUUGAGCCCGGCACUAGCCGGUGUGGCUCCCUGCUGUGGUCUGGAGGAAGCAGCGGCCUGGGUUGGUGGGAUUGGAAUGAAGGGCUUCUGGUUUGCAGGGAUCAAGGGUCCAGGGUCCCCGAGGUUGGGUCAGGAGCCUCAAGGGGAUAACUGAGGCUUGGGAGGGAGACAGGGCGAGAUAGAGACUGGCCCCUGUCCGGGAAGAAGCGUCCGGGUAGCUGGCAGGAGAUAGCAUUUAGGCAGAAACCAGGCUGGGGGCAGCUUGGGUAGGGCUCCCCGCAGAUCAGAGGACGGCCUGGAACAGGUCCCAGGGCCAGGCCCCAGGCAGGGGCAGCCAGCCUGAGGAGGGUGGCUGGUUAGGUGGCACUCACACCUAGAUGGGCUGUGAAGAUCAUAGACCUGUCCCAUAGUAAUGGAGACCCCUGUAGCGCAUUUCACCCUCCACUGCAGCAGCUGGAAGGAGUGUGAGGAGGGUCCAGGGA